AAUGAACGCUGGCGGCAGGCCUAACACAUGCAAGUCGAACGGAUCCUUCGGGAUUAGUGGCGGACGGGUGAGUAACGCAUGGGAACAUACCCAAAGGUACGGAAUAGCCUCGGGAAACUGGGAGUAAUACCGUAUGUGCUCGAAAGAGGAAAGAUUUAUCGCCUUUGGAUUGGCCCGCGUUGGAUUAGGUAGUUGGUGGGGUAAUGGCCUACCAAGCCGACGAUCCAUAGCUGGUUUGAGAGGAUGAUCAGCCACACUGGGACUGAGACACGGCCCAGACUCCUCCGGGAGGCAGCAGUGGGGAAUCUUAGACAAUGGGGGAAACCCUGAUCUAGCCAUGCCGCGUGAUCGAUGAAGGCCUUAGGGUUGUAAAGAUCUUUCAGGUGGGAAGAUAAUGACUGUACCACCAGAAGAAGCCCCGGCUAACUCCGUGCCAGCAGCCGCCGUAA
rnacentral:rRNA from 1 species